CUUACACAUGCAAGUCGAGCGGGCGUAGCAAUACGUCAGCGGCAGACGGGUGAGUAACGCGUGGGAACGUACCUUUUGGUUCGGAACAACACAGGGAAACUUGUGCUAAUACCGGAUAAGCCCUUACGGGGAAAGAUUUAUCGCCGAAAGAUCGGCCCGCGUCUGAUUAGCUAGUUGGUGAGGUAAUGGCUCACCAAGGCGACGAUCAGUAGCUGGUCUGAGAGGAUGGUCAGCCACAUUGGGACUGAGACACGGCCCAAACUCCUACGGGAGGCAGCAGUGGGGAAUAUUGGACAAUGGGCGCAAGCCUGAUCCAGCCAUGCCGCGUGAGUGAUGAAGGCCCUAGGGUUGUAAAGCUCUUUUGUGCGGGAAGAUAAUGACGGUACCGCAAGAAUAAGCCCCGGCUAACUUCGUGCCAGCAGCCGCGGUAAUACGAAGGGGGCUAGCGUUGCUCGGAAUCACUGGGCGUAAAGGGUGCGUAGGCGGGUCUUUAAGUCAGGGGUGAAAUCCUGGAGCUCAACUCCAGAACUGCCUUUGAUACUGAA
rnacentral:rRNA from 1 species